AUACGGAGGGUGCGAGCGUUAAUCGGAAUUACUGGGCGUAAAGGGUGCGUAGGCGGCUUGAUAAGUCGGAUGUGAAAGCCCCGGGCUUAACCUGGGAAUUGCAUUCGAUACUGUCAGGCUAGAGUAUGUCAGAGGUUGGCGGAAUUCCUGGUGUAGCGGUGAAAUGCGUAGAUAUCAGGAGGAACACCAGUGGCGAAGGCGGCUAACUGGGACAAUACUGACGCUGAGGCAUGAAAGCGUGGGGAGCAAACAGGAUUAGAAACCCUAGUAGUCC
rnacentral:rRNA from 1 species